CGGCGGUGGCGGCGGUUGCCGCUCCUCUGGGGGUCCGGACAAACCGACAGCGGUUUGGCCUGGCUCGCGGCCCGGCUGUGUGAGGACGAUAGCGGGGAGCCAUGGCCGAGGCGGUUUCUCCUCCGAACAAGGGAAAACGACGCUCUACACCUAUAACUUCUUCGCUCCUGCCUUCAGCCUCAGAGAAAGAUUCAUACCUACAGAGUACAGAGAUCUCCCUCUGGACUGUGGUGGCAGCCAUUCAGGCAGUGGAAAAGAAGGUGGAGUCCCAGGCUGCCCGAUUACAGACCCUAGAGGGGCGGACAGGGACGGCAGAGAAGAAACUGGCUGAUUAUGAGAAGACAGCAGUAGAGUUUGGGAACCAGUUGGAGGGCAAAUGGGCUGUGUUAGGGACCUUGGUACAGGAGUAUGGGUUGCUCCAGAGGAGGCUAGAGAACAUGGAGAACCUGCUCAGAAACAGGAACUUCUGGAUCCUGCGACUCCCCCCAGGCAGCAAGGGCGAGGUCCCCAAGGUGCCUGGGACUUUUGAAAAUGAUGGAGUCUAUUUCUCAGAGCAAGAAUGGGAGAACCUGGAUGAUUGGCAAAAAGAACUUUACAGGAAUGUGAUGAAGAGCAACUUUGAGACCCUUGUCUCUCUGGACUGUGCCAUUUCCAACCCUGAGCUUCUGGCCCACCAGGAAGAAGAAUCUGGUACAGAGGAACUGGGGGAUUUGGCCGGGGAGAGCCCUGGUGGUCCCCACCCAGCAGAUGGAAUUAUGAUUAAACAGGAGAUGAAGUACCAUCAAGAAAGCCCUGAAGACUUGCCUGGAGAGUUUUCUGGUAGUGUUGAACAGCAUACUUUGCUAAUCCCUGAGCAGGCUGCAACCUGGGAUAGUCAGGGCAACUCCAUCCUUUUGGAGACUGACCCAGAAGUUACUAAACUGGAAGAAGCUAUUGAGUGUAACCAAGACCAAAGUGAUGCCAAAACAUUGGGCUUUCAUCGGAAGCGGAAAUCUAGUGGGCAAGCCCGAUCAGGUCAGGAAUGCAGACAGGGUAUGAGGUUGAAAAGGAGUCUGGCCCAUCCACGGAGCCCCCCAGCCACUGGUUCAUAUGAGUGCUCUGAGUGUGAUGUCAGUUUCCGAUACAAGCAGCAGCUGGCUGUUCAUAUGAGGACCCACCCUGGUUGGGGGUCCUUUGGGGAUCCAGAGCCUGAGGAGAAUCUACGGCCCAGGCCCCAGCUCAAACCUCAGGCCAAGAAGAUGAAACCGCACCAGUGUGAGGAGUGUCUGAGAAGUUUUAGCUGUAAGGCAAGCCUUGUGACCCACCAGCGGUGCCACCUGCAGGAAGGCUCAAGCAUGGGCCAGCGAGUUCAGGAGAGGUUCUCACCCAACAGUCUGGUUGCACUACCAGGCCACAUCCCUUGGAGGAAGAGCCGCAGCUCACUUAUCUGUGGCUACUGUGGCAAGAGCUUCAGCCAUCCUUCUGACCUGGUGCGACAUCAGCGCAUCCACACAGGUGAACGGCCCUACAGCUGUGCACAAUGCGAGAAGAGUUUUGUCCAGAAGCAGCACCUAUUACAGCACCAAAAGAUCCACCAGAGAGAACGGGGUGGGCUGACCCUGGAACCUGGAGGGAAUGAUGGGCUGCUUUAAGGAUGCCGGCCCCUCAUCUAUCCCCGGGGCAGGGGGGGCCGGCUUAAGCCCCCUAAAAAGUCACUGUGCAGGGGUGAGGCACCUAUCAACUAGAUCCUGCCUUAGGACAGGGUGAGCUUAGCCACCCCCCUACCCUCCUCUCUCCAUUCUCCGACCAAGCACUAGACUGAGCCCGAACUCUUCCCUGAAAACCAUGCUGAGAUGGGAGGAACCUGUCAGCCACCUGACCUUACUACCUUAUACCUGAGGAAUUGCUUGGUCUAUUCCAGAAGAGUGCUUAGCUUAAUAAAGGCUGAUGAUAUUCGUCAGGAGACUGUUGACCGCUGCUAUAGAUAAGGUAGGUAGACCGUAGACUGCAAGUAAAUUAAUACUGCAAAACCUUGGUGUCUUGAGAUGAGUCAUUGCUUCUUGGAUCAUGAGAAUGUAAGAGUGGCAGUGAGAUGCCUCAGCCUCCCUGACCUAAUUAGCUGAAAUAGUGGUGGCAGCUGCAACAAGAGCUUGAGCAGGGUUGUGUGAGAAGGUUGCUGAAGAGAUCAAUGCCUGAUAUAUGGCCUACAGAGUUAAAAGUAUACACUGUAUAGUAGACUGUGAGGAUACGGAAGUGUUGGCAGUUGUUGGGUAUUUGUCAAACAGCUUGUCCUGAGGCUAACAUAGUAUUGGCAUACAAAAAAAAACCAAAAACAAAACAGGCCACUGCAGAAUUUCUCUAACAUGUUUUGGGAGUAGUACAGGGCAGUGCCAGUAAGAAGCAGAACCAAGGCCUUUUCUCCUGAAGAGAGGUUUGCCAUCAGUUCCAUUGUAUGGUAAACUGAUGGUCUAAAGGAUAUAGUUAUGACACUCUCGUUCAAUUGUUACUCCAUUCAUAUAAUUCUUCCCCUGAAGAAUUCAGAAUCUUGUUCUUCUAUGAAGAAUUUGACAACCCUCCAGAUUGAAUUAAUAUAAACCUUGAUGUUGGAUGACUUCUGUGCCAAAAGGUAUGCACAGAGGAAGUACAUAGAGUAGGGAACUUCGUAUAAGCAACUCCUAGGUGAGGAAAAGUCCAUUGCCACAGCAAGGUCAUUGCCUUGCCACGUAGAGCUUUAGAAAGUUGCCUAGAGCUCUUAGAGGUCCAGCAACUGACCCAAGGUCAUACAGAUCAAAUCAAGUGCUUCUUAGCCUUAAGGCCAACUUGAAGAAAUAUCUAUUGAACAGUAUGGAUCAAAAGUAAGGAAAGAGGUCAAACCCUUGGUGACCACACAGAAGCUUCACAACUUUACAUUGCAAAUAUUUCAUUUGAGAAAAGAAAUGGGAAGUACAUAGGCUCAAAAUGACCAAAAAAAUGAAAUUGUUUAAGAGACAGAAAAUGACAUCAGUGAUAUGAGGAUCAUUCCUAAAUCAACUGUGUAUAUGCAGUUAGACCACUGACUUGUUAGAGCAAAAAUCAGAAUUAGUACAAAGUUAAGGGGAUGGAUAUUCAUUUAGGAGAAUUUGGAAAAAUAAAAAUGAUAAAAAUGGUAUGCAAUAAAAUGGCAACCUUACCUAUUUUAAACAAUUGAUGCCAAAAAAAUGGGAUGUAGAUGGAGAAAAGGACAUAAAGCUUGAUUAUAACAGUUUUAUGCAGAUAUUUAACUGAUAUAAAUAAUUUUCCAUGGAGAAGGAACCAAAAUACCUACAAACUGCAUCAGCCAGUAAAUAUAACUUUAUCUGGCUAAGUAAAGUGUCAAGGACAAUAUUAAUUUAGAAUAACAGGUCAUAUGCAAAAUCUUACAGAAAAGAAUGGAUUGGUGGGAGAUGGAGAGGUAUCACUUAUAUGACAGUUUAAAGAAAGCUUGGUGAAAGACUUAAAGUCAUCUGAAGGUAUUUUAGAAUGAAGCUGAAAGGACAGCAUACAUUGCAAAAUUGCAAAAGUUCUAUAAAGAUUUUUAUAGCAAACUUUACUGUCAAGGAUAGUUGACCUACCACAUUUGGAUUCAGUAUAGUUCUGGAUGUCAUAAUGGAAGAAGUGGAAAUAGCACUGAAGAAAACCAACAGAAAAGAUAUUUGGAUUGUACUGAGAGGCAGUUAUGUGCUUGGGGUGACCUAAUUUUGAGGGCACUAAGGAAUCAAUUCUCAAGGUUUGUGAAAGGAGAGGAAACUGUAGGCGUAAAAAAUCUCAGACCCUCUUAUCAAAAAAGGCAACCAAGAGGAUCUGAAAAAUAGCUCCUAAUCCGUAUGCCUACUUUCCCAUCUAUACAAAUUUUUAUCAUCCUUGGUACACAUUGAGGGAGUCCUUCAUGAGCUUAAGGAACAGGCACAUUUCAAGCAAUAGGUCACAUCAGAUAACUGACUGAAAGGCAUGAAAGAUACAUCUUCCUAUCAUGCUUACUGAUUAUUGGGCACAAAAAGCAUUUGAUUUUGUUAGGCAAAACAUUGCCAUAAAGGCUCUUCUCCAAAAAGUCUCCCAUAAUAUUGAAAUCAUAAACUAUCUUGAAAGAUAAAGACAAAGAGAACUUUGUUCAGUGACCCUCAAAUUAUUGGUGGCAAGUGGAAUAUAAAAUGGAUGUGUAUGCAUGCCAGAGGUUAAGUGAAAUUCUCUGUAAGUUCUCUAUAAGUGGUGAGAAUCUCCAAAUACUCCUGUUUGUAGAUGAUGUGUUUACUGCAUCAAGCCCUGGAAUACUGCAGAGACUCCUAUAAUGACAUCAGUAACUCCAACCUUUUCCCUUGGAACAAAGUUUCUGGUGGUGGUGUGUAGUUUUGAGUCAAGGAAUAUUACUCUCUGAAGAACUGAAGCUAAUGUUCAUUCAUAGGCUUUGGAGAACUGCAUAUUGGGUAUUAGCCUAACAGCACAUUACAAAUGAGAAAUUAUUAAUGAAAAGUAGUAUAAAAAAUGUCAGAAAAAUAACUUUGGAAAAGUUAAGUAUUGGACGUAUAGAUUUGAGGGACAGCCUACACACUCUUGGUAACCAUCAAUUGUAAGGAAAAUGUGAGGAAGGCCCUCAGCAUGUUGGGUGGCAGCUAAGCACUGUGGCAAAUUUGUAGGGCAACACAAAUGAGGGUUGGAUUUGGAUAGGUUGGGAUUUUUGUCUUUCGAUGGUGAGCUCACAUCUCUUGGACCGUGUAUAGGGAUCUUUGCAUUAAAAAAAAAAAAAA